rnacentral:rRNA from 1 species
ACCAGGUCUUGACAUCUUGCGCCAACCCUAGAGAUAGGGCGUUUCCUUCGGGAACGCAAUGACAGGUGGUGCAUGGUCGUCGUCAGCUCGUGUCGUGAGAUGUUGGGUUAAGUCCCGCAACGAGCGCAACCCUUGUUACUAGUUGCCAGCAUUAAGUUGGGCACUCUAGUGAGACUGCCGGUGACAAACCGGAGGAAGGUGGGGACGACGUCAGAUCAUCAUGCCCCUUAUGACCUGGGCUACACACGUGCUACAAUGGACGGUACAACGAGUCGCGAACUCGCGAGGGCAAGCAAAUCUCUUAAAACC